rnacentral:rRNA from 1 species
UACAGAGGGGGCAAGCGUUAUUCGGAAUUAUUGGGCGUAAAGGGCGCGUAGGCGGCUUGGCAAGUGGAAGGUGAAAUCCCUCGGCUUAACCGAGGAACUGCCCUCCAAACUGCUUUGCUUGAGGCCGGGAGAGGCGAGUGGAAUUCCCAGUGUAGCGGUGAAAUGCGUAGAUAUUGGGAGGAACACCAGUGGCGAAGGCGGCUCGCUGGACCGGUUCUGACGCUGAGGCGCGAAAGCUAGGGGAGCAAACGGG